AAACAGUAUUUGUUUACGACGGAUACA
rnacentral:sRNA from 1 species